UACGGGGGGGGCAAGCGUUGUUCGGAAUUACUGGGCGUAAAGGGCUCGUAGGUGGUCAACUAAGUCGGACGUGAAAUCCCUCGGCUUAACCGGGGAACUGCGUCCGAUACUGGAUGACUUGAGUUCGGGAGGGGGAUGCGGAAUUCCAGGUGUAGCGGUGAAAUGCGUAGAUAUCUGGAGGAACACCGGUGGCGAAGGCGGCAUCCUGGACCGACACUGACGCUGAGGAGCGAAAGCCAGGGGAGCAAACGGG
rnacentral:rRNA from 1 species